GAGUUUGAUUGAUCGUGGCUCAGGACGAACGCUGGCGGCGUGCUUAACACAUGCAAGUCGAACGGAGCACCCUUGACUGAGGUUUCGGCCAAAUGAUAGGAAUGCUUAGUGGCGGACUGGUGAGUAACGCGUGAGGAACCUGCCUUCCAGAGGGGGACGAACAGUUGGAACGACUGCUAAUACCGCAUGAUAUAUUUGAGGGGCGAUCCCUUGGAUAUCAAAGAUUUAUCGCUGGAAGAUGGCCUCGCGUCUGAUUAGCUAGAUGGUGGGGUAACGGCCCACCAUGGCGACGAUCAGUAGCCGGACUGAGAGGUUGACCGGCCAC
rnacentral:rRNA from 1 species